ACCUGCUGUGGUGUAGUUGGUAGCACGCGUCCCGGGUGUGGAUGAAACGCGGGUUCGAUCCCGUCUGAGGUC